CCGUGGACCACCACCCCGCCGAACAUAGCCUGUAUCGGGAGAUCCAUCACUAUGACCAGGAGCAGGACCACUCUGGAGACCAGGAAAGCAGCAGAAUCAAUGCCAGGUGAGGAUCCAGAUGCUCUGGCCAUCUGCGUAGGAGACUGAGUGAAAAAGACAAGUCCAUAAAAGAAAAUGGAACCAGCCAAGAUGAACGGGACCCUUCCAGGUGACCAUGGCAACACCGAUUGCAUUCCGGGUGGCGAAGAGGUCCGGCUGGCAUCAUCUCUCCCACAACUCCCAGAGUGGAAGCCAUGGAUGAGCGACUAGAGAGCAGGGCCCUGAGGACAUCUGAAGGAGGAAGAAGGUAUGAGCCAAAGGACAGAAGCAGUGGGCCCAGACCAAAGGACAGAAGCAGAAGGUUCAGACCAAAAGGCUGGAAAGAAAGAUGAAACAGAAGGCUCUAGCUAACGAGCAGAAGGAGGAGACAUCAUUUCACACUCAGGGUCUAUAACUAGGAAACAGAGACUAGUGUGGUGAUUUGUUUUCCCCAUAAUCCUUUCCAUGGGUCUCCUUGUUGGCGCAGCCACAGGGACCCCCUGGGGGAUCUGAGGUAAACAACAAAUGGAUACAAAUGGUGAGAAAAAUUGGAAAUCAGACUAAGAAAUCAGACUACUAGGAACCCUGAUUUGAGUAUUUAGGAAGUCUACAUCAACAACUGAGCUGUUCGGGAGUCAGGUUGAGCCCAUGGGAAGGACAGAGUUCGAAUGUGGGUUUUUAUCCUUUAUGCAGAGAGGCAAUGAGAAACAAGCUGACUAGGCGAAUGGAGACCACAGGACUCUUCUUUGGGGAAAGAACUGAGAGGUUAGCCGGGGAUCAUGGGACACAUGUAUGUUGGGGUGGUCACAAGAAGGGAGCAAAUUUACCUAAUGUGGUAGAAGGAAGCAGGCAGAUCUCUCUAUGACCUAGAAUUCACCUCAGGAGAGGUGAGUCAGUCUUCACGGUAAGAACUACCCACUCUGUAAGGUAUCCCAGCAGGCACCUGUGAUUAGAAUUGUUAGGAAAUGGAAGCUUGAUCAUCAUUCCCAUACUGACUGUGGAAAAGUGGAAAAUUACUGCUGAGCACUUAGAAAACACUGGAACUAUUGUUUUAUUCCUGCACUUCUGUAAAAAUGUAUAUGCAUGGCCUUGGUAUCAUGAGUAGAAGGUGUUGAUGUAGGCAGUUACAUCACUAGGGGUUGACUGCAAACAUAUAAAAGUAACUUGGACUUUUCCUAUUUUGCAGAACUCGGGAGAGACAUCGGUUGUAUGUUUGAUAUUAAAAAUGUUAUGAUUUAUACGUGCA